GACGAACGCUGGCGGCGUGCCUAAUACAUGCAAGUAGAACGCUGAAGGAGGAGCUUGCUUCUCUGGAUGAGUUGCGAACGGGUGAGUAACGCGUAGGUAACCUGCCUGGUAGCGGGGGAUAACUAUUGGAAACGAUAGCUAAUACCGCAUAAUAGUAGAUGUUGCAUGACAUUUGCUUAAAAGGUGCAAUUGCAUCACUACCAGAUGGACCUGCGUUGUAUUAGCUAGUUGGUGAGGUAACGGCUCACCAAGGCAACGAUACAUAGCCGACCUGAGAGGGUGAUCGGCCACACUGGGACUGAGACACGGCCCAGACUCCUACGGGAGGCAGCAGUAGGGAAUCUUCGGCAAUGGACGGAAGUCUGACCGAGCAACGCCGCGUGAGGGAAGAAGGUUUUCGGAUCGUAAAGCUCUGUUGUAAGAGAAGAACGAGUGUGAGAGUGGAAAGUUCACACUGUGACGGUAUCUUACCAGAAAGGGACGGCUAACUACGUG
rnacentral:rRNA from 1 species